GUGCUCGCUUUGGCAGCACAUAUACUAAAAUUGGAACGAUACAGAGAUUAGCAUGGCCCCUGCGCAAGGUUGACACGCAAAUUUGUGAAGCGUUCCAUAUUUUU
ensembl:snRNA U6 U6 spliceosomal RNA